rnacentral:rRNA from 1 species
UGGAUUAGUGGCGAACGGGUGAGUAACACGUGAGUAACCUGCCCUCCACUUUAGGAUAACUCCGAGAAAUCGGGGCUAAUACUGGAUAUGACCUUGGCCCGCAUGGGUUGUGGUGGAAAGUUUUUCGGUGGGGGAUGGGCUCGCGGCCUAUCAGUUUGUUGGUGAGGUAGUGGCUCACCAAGGCGAUGACGGGUAGCCGGCCUGAGAGGGCGACCGGCCACACUGGGACUGAGACACGGCCCAG